rnacentral:lncRNA from 1 species
UGCUUCCUCAACCCCAGAUGGUACAAGGAAAUGGUGGAAUCGACCACAUGCAGAACCUAUCUCAAACACCAGUGACGGAACCAGAGGAGGCCCAGAUGGUACAAGGAAAUGGUGGAAUCGACCACAUGCAGAACCUAUCUCAAACACCAGUGACAGAACCAGAGGAGGGGACCAAUGAAGUAACCAAAGGGUGGGCAAAUCUCUUCCAGAAGAACCGAUUUGCUUCUAAUGGCAUGGCGUUGGAGUAUAUCCCACCGACUCUGAUUGAUGGUAAACCUGUUGGUCAUCUGACUAAAGAGGAAGUGGA